rnacentral:lncRNA from 1 species
CUGUUUUUCCCUUUAAGUUGAAUGUUUCUUUUUGCUUCUCCAUCUAAUGCUCUCCAGUUUGUAAUUUAAAAUUUACUUAUAUUUUCAAAGGUAGUGUUAUAUGUCAUAGUAGAAAAAAAUGGUCAAACUGAGAGUUCAUCUUUAAGUAAAAAUGGAGCCCCAGUUAUCUGCCGGAAUUGUCUUCUUUAUCAGAGGUGGUCAGAUCAGAUCUCAAAGCUCCAGGCCUUAGGGGCAUGCAGAAGAAGUAAAGAGAUGUUCCUGCCCUGGGGAGACAAAACUAACAAAGUUUAAACAGGAGGAAAACAUUUCUGCAGCUAAAUCAGGACAGAUCCUAGAAAAGAGCUCAUUUGAAAAGAAGAAAUGUUUGGAAGCCCUGCAGCUCACAUCACUGCCUCCCCAAAAGUGUGUAUGUCUGACAGCAGCCAUUAUAUUACAUGUGACGUUUGCAACAAAACUCAGCAAAUGUUUAAGUAUCUUUGCUACACUACUGUAAGACAUGUGCCCUUUAGGCCUCAGCUGAGAUUAGAUGCACCUAGCAAGUAGAGACCCUUCAGACUGUGCUCCAGGAACCCAGAAUUCUCAGCAACUCAAGAACACUUCUAGGGCUUGCACAGGCCUCUUCCCUGGGUCCCCAUCUUAUAGGAUGAUCCUACCAUGUGAUGUGCACACUCCUAGGCACAGGGACGAGCUCUUUGGAGGAAAAUAAAU